UACGGAGGGUGCGAGCGUUGUCCGGAAUCAUUGGGCGUAAAGGGCGCGUAGGUGGCCCGGUCAGUUCGUGGUGAAAGCGCGGGGCUCAACCCUGCGUCGGCCAUGAAUACUGCCGCGGCUGGAGCACUGUAGAGGCAAGCGGAAUUCCGGGUGUAGCGGUGGAAUGCGUAGAGAUCCGGAAGAACACCGGUGGCGAAGGCGGCCUGCUGGGCAGUUGCUGACACUGAGGCGCGACAGCGUGGGGAGCAAACAGG
rnacentral:rRNA from 1 species